rnacentral:tRNA from 1 species
AAGGGUGUUAUUUUAAGUAAGAAUAGUUGACUCUUAAUCAGAAGGUUAUGGCUCUAG